CCGUCUCUGCCCCCGAGGUCAGCCAGGAGCCGGCGGUUGGUGCAGGGUCCCGACGGGUGAGGUCUGGAGCCCCUGGAAACACCCCCCGGACCGGAAGCGCUUGGUCUCCACAAGCCGCCCCGAGCCCAGGGAGAUUUUGGAUAAGUCAUUAUUAAGGAAGCAAGGACACCUGUGUUGUAUUGGAAGCACACCAGCCAUGAGAUCGGAAGGCCUGAAUUUGAAUUCUCAUUACUCACAAAUAUAAGAUACUAAGGAUUUGCAAAAUUUAAAGAAUCAAAAAGGCCAAAGAAGAGAUUUAACCAAAGAACCAAAGUCAGAGAAGGUGAUCCUGGGAAUCUAAAUAACUGAGAAAUCAAAUCCAUUUUUUUUUUGAUAUUCCAUUGUUUUCUCUCCUCGUGUA
rnacentral:lncRNA from 1 species